AUUGAACGCUGGCGGCAGGCCUAACACAUGCAAGUCGAGCGGAGCAGCAGACGGGUGAGGAAUGCAUAGGAAUCUGCCUGGAAGUGGGGGAUAACGUACGGAAACGGGCGCUAAUGCCGCAUACAAUCAGCAGAGCAUAGGUCGGAUUAGCUAGUUGGAGGGGUAAAGGCCUACCAAGGCGACGAUCCGUAACUGGUCUGAGAGGAUGAUCAGUCACACUGGAACUGAGACACGGUCCAGCCUCCUACGUGAGGCAGCAGUGGGGAAUAUUGGACAAUGGGCGAAAGCCUGAUCCAGCCAUGCCGCGUGUGUGAAGAAGGUCUUCGGAUUGUAAAGCACUUUAAGUUGGGAGGCGUUACCAACAGAAUAAGCACCGGCUAACUUCGUGCCAGCCGCCGCGGUAAUUC
rnacentral:rRNA from 1 species